UUUUUGGGUCAAGAUUUUGUGGGUGGAUUGCUAUCCUUAUCCAUCCAUUGAGAGUCCUGUCUGGCUGCAGGAGGCACGUCAACAACCAACUUUGGCAUCUGUGGGGUCUUUCUGACGUCUGUGUGUCCCCGUUUGUGAGAGCUGGAACCUAGGAGUCUUUAGGUGUGGAAGACCUUACCCCUUGGAAGUUGUGGGCUGGGGCUUCUCUAGCAUUUGCCUGGGCGAAGAGGACUGCAUCGUGGAUGCUGGGGAACACGUGAUUGCGCUGUACACACCCAUCUUCAAAGAUGCCUCCCUGGCUGAUGUCAUUGUACACCUGGGCUGUAAGGAGGCAGAUCCAUGAACCUUCUGAUUUGGAAAGGAUCCCAAGUUCAACCAGUCAGCCCCCCCGAUUUACAUGGCUGGACAGGAACCCCCAGAUGGAUAAAGUGACUUGGCUGGCUCGACUCAGGAUACACACAAAUUAGGGGCAUGCUGUGUUCAGAACCAUCAGAAACGCCAUGGGGCUCAGAAACACCAUCGUAAAGAAGCUUAAGAAACUGGACCUACAGCGGAUUUAGGAAAGGUGUUCUGGAAGCCAGCAACUCUCUGUACCAUUCCUUCUGGGAACCAAUGUAGCAGAGCCAAUGGCCGUGCUUAGGCCUCCCAGAUGCCUUUGGGGGCAGAGCCUUGGGUCCCAUGGGCACAGGUGCAGUGGGAAACCUCUGAAAGCAGUGUGGGAAUCCACCAAGUGAGAGCCCCUCCCUGAUUCCAGGUGGCUUUUUCCCCCAAGGCAUUAUGUGUUAGACCGUCUUAGCCCUGAGUCAUCCUUCCAUCUCUUUAAGAUAAAAACAGAAGCUCUGAAGUUUGAUGGAGUCAAUAUAGGGGUGUUUCAGCAAAGCAGUGUUGGAGGUACCCCUGGGGAGGUGAAAUGAAGUUGCUUGGUACACGUUAGGGGCUCAGCAAUUACCUGUUGAAUAAAUGAAAGAAUGAAUUGUCUGUAAGCCCAGCCCAAUGGAUACUUUGUAGAUGUAUUGCUUGUGGGGACUAAGGAAAUGCCCAAGGUCACUCAAGGUGUCAAGGUAUAGCCUGGAUGCAAGAGGCCCAAGUAUGCCUGCCAUUCUGGUGAGGGGAGGACACGUGGGUGAACACUGAGUCUAGGAGCCCUUCCCAUUGGAAUGGCUUCCCAUGCUCCUGCACAGAUAGCGUGUUUCCUUCCUGCAGUAUUUCCUGCCUUGGAGUUAUAAUGUGGAGCACAGCCAGUGGUCAUGAUGUGCUGGGUAAAUCAGUCUUCUAAACUUGCUUACCAUGUGCACGGAUGUCAGUGGGCAGAUACGGGCUUGUUUACUUUUGCAUUCUGACCACCUACCUACAUUCUGGUACUCAUGGAGACUGUGAGUCUUUGAAAUGGGUGAGUGGUAACGGGAGGGAGUCUUUGAACAAAUCAAAGCCUAAGAACAGGAAUCUGUCCGUCCAUGUCCAGCGCUAUCUAGUGCAGUGGGCAGUGAGUCCUGAUCUGCAUUUUGGCCAGGAAAUUCCUAGAAAGCAGGUGAGUCAUCAGGGCUCCUACUAUAACGGAGUGACAGUGGCCAUUCAGAUCAAACAGUGGUCUCUUUGUUGAGCCAUUGUGCCUAUCAGGGAGUUUUUGGCUGUCCUUCUUUUGGGGAGAGAUGUGCUGCCCAGUUGACUGGGGCAACCAGGGUUAUCUCUGGAAGUGUCUCUUCUCUUUUAAGUGACCUAUGGAUAUUCUGGGCCACCAACCGGCCUAGUGUGAGCUUUAUUAUCUGAGUGAGUUCCCUCUGUGCCUGGCCUGGCUUACUAUAGUACCAUUCAACUUUCACACAGGCUAACUGAUUUAAUUCUAGAACCAACCAUGUGGUACCCACUUGCUACUCUCAUGUCUGAACAAGUAAAUGGGAGUUGGUUAAACUGAAAUAAAUUAUCCCAGCUCACAAAGAUCUUUGUGAAAGGGAUGGGAAGUAGAUUUGGCAUCGUCUGUGCGAAGUCAUACCCACCUUUUUUAAUGCAACCAGCCAGGUUUUUGAUCAAGCCCUAAGAUGAUCCGGAUGCAGGUAGCUUGGGGCCUCCAGAAUGACUUGGGAGCCCCUUGGCUCUUUAACUUUUCCAGUUUCAGAAAAACUCUGGUUAGGGAGGCUUUACCUAAUCGGACAAUUGAACUCAGAGGCUCUUUUGAUGUUGAGUCUGAGAUAGAAGGAAGCUGGACCAAAAGUGGGGGGUCAGAGGUGGUACCAGAGGACAAGCUGCCCUGAGGGCUGAAAGGGCGUCUUUGGAACAUAUUAGAUAGAAUAAGCUAUGGGAGCAGCGGGAGAGAUGGCUCAG
rnacentral:sRNA from 1 species